UAUGAUACUUUUCCAGAAAUCAACAUGGAACUUUUGGUGGAAAAUUUUCAUUGUCUAACAAUGCUGAUAACUUUAUACACGGUCGAGGAAAAUGGAAAGUUACUCGUCCAAGAGCAACGGAUAACUUGAAGUGUGUUUCAGAUAAUUCAAAUAAUGAACUCCUUAGGAAGGACCUGCAUAAUAGUUCUCUGGUGAUUGAUCACCAUGAUAAACUGGUCUCUGGAACUCUGUCAUCGUUUUUCUUACCGAGACUGAUGUGACUAUAUUUUGUCAACUCAAUAACAAAGAUAGUCCAGGACUUAUUUCAACAUCUACAUCAGACACCAGUGGCUACAAGCUUACGUUUUGCCUGCUUAUCUAAUUCGUUGAACAAACCAAAACCUCUAAACUUGGAUGUGUCCUUGCCUAAAUUCGGGAUCUUCGAUGGAACUUGUCACGGUUACUGUAUUUGUUCAACAUUCAACUUGAGAAAAAUGUU